GUGGAUUAGAUACCCGAGUAGUCCACGCCGUAAACGAUGCUAACUCGUUUUUGGAUUUUCGGAUUCAGAGACCAAGCGAAAGUGAUAAGUUAGCCACCUGGGGAGUACGUUCGCAAGAAUGAAACUCAAAGGAAUUGACGGGGGCCCGCACAAGCGGUGGAUUAUGUGGUUUAAUUCGAUGAUACGCGAGGAACCUUACCAAGACUUAAAUGGGAAUUGACAGAUUUAGAAAUAGAUCCUCCUUCGGGCAAUUUUCAAGGUGCUGCACGGCUGUCGACAACU
rnacentral:rRNA from 1 species